GACGAACGCUGGCGGCGUGCUUAACACAUGCGAGUCGAACGGGAAUUAGUAGACAGAGGCCUCCGCAAGAGAUUACUAAAGGGGUUGGCGAAAGGGUGAUUAACGCGUGAGCAAACUGCCUAUGACAGUGGAAUCGGCUCGGAAAACCGGGAAUAAUACCGCAUCAAAUCGUAGAAAAACAUGAUUCGACGGUGAAAGACUUAAUGGACAUAGAUGUGCGCCAGUAUGAUUAGCUAGAUGGUGAGAUAACAGCACACCAAGGCGUCGAUCAGUAGCCGGGAUGAGAGGAUGAACCGCCACAUCGGAACUGAGACACGGUCCAAACUCCUACGCGAGGCAGCAGAGGGGAACAGAGCACAAUGGCGGAAACGCUGAUGCAGCGACGACGCGUGAACUCUGAAAGUAGUCGUAUCGUAAAGUGUUGGCCUAUGUGAAGAUAAUGACAGUACCAUAGAAGAAAGCCACGGCUAAAUACGUG
rnacentral:rRNA from 1 species